AUUGAACGCUGGCGGCAUGCCUUACACAUGCAAGUCGAACGGCAGCGGACCUUCGGGUGCCGGCGAGUGGCGAACGGGUGAGUAAUAUAUCGGAACGUACCUUUCAGUGGGGGAUAACGUAGCGAAAGUUACGCUAAUACCGCAUAUUCUGUGAGCAGGAAAGCAGGGGAUCGCAAGACCUUGCGCUGAUUGAGCGGCCGAUAUCAGAUUAGCUAGUUGGUGAGGUAAAGGGCUCACCAAGGCGACGAUCUGUAGCGGGUCUGAGAGGAUGAUCCGCCACACUGGAACUGAGACACGGUCCAGACUCCUACGGGAGGCAGCAGUGGGGAAGUUUUGGACAAUGGGCGCAAGCCUGAUCCAGCCAUGCCGCGUGAGUGAAGAAGG
rnacentral:rRNA from 1 species